GGUAUUUAAAAAGUGGAUAUUCCUUCUAUGUUUAUGUUAUUUAUGGUUAAACAUAGAGGAAAUUCCACAUUUUCAGUAUC
rnacentral:pre_miRNA from 12 species